rnacentral:miRNA from 14 species
CAUUAUUACUUUCGGUACGCGC